UCAGUCUGAAAAUGAAAGUGAAAGAUUUAUUGCCAAAGUCGCCAUUUGAUCAAGAAACACGAAUACAAUUCUGGAAUGGUAUAAACAUCUUUUGUAUUCCAAGGCGCAAUCCUGCUUCCUGUAAUCUGUGGAGGACCACCUUUAAGCAAGUUUCAUGCUCGACUGAUGAGAAGACGAUAAUGUCAUCGAGCUAUGAACAAACUCCAGUGUUCCGAUGGACAGAGCAGCUGUUCCUGUACCCAGCUGGAUUUCUGUGAAGAGUGACAGCUCAAUGGACCUUCCAUACCACUUCAGAGAGGGACAUUUUCCUGCAGGUCAAAGGUAAAUGUGCAUUUAAGCAAACACUAUUUCAAACACUCAGACUCU